CUUAUUAAUGGUAAUUGGUCAGUGGGAGAGUAAAGAAGAGAGAGAAAGAAGAAAGGAAAAAGAGGAAGAAGAAGAAGAAAGAAGAAGGGGAAUCGACAGUGGAGCUUCACCAUAGCUGGGUCUUGGUAUUUUGAGCCCGGAUUAAUGACUAGCUCAUCGCGAUCUUUGAUUUGAGGAUUUAGAAGGAGUGCUGGUGAAAAUCUAGAGUAUUUGAAAGUUCUUAAGCAAAAGAAGUGAAAUUUGGGGUUUUAUUGAUGUUCUUGAGAAAGAGGUUACACUCAUUAUACGUGUAUCCACACAUCGGAUCUCUUACAUGCUAGGUAUAAGCACCGAGUAUAUAUACAAGCAAGAGUAGCAGGUUGGAGAGGCCAACACUAGCUUGGCUGGCAGCAGUGGAAUGCUAGGAAGGGAAGGAUGACCCAACAUGUACCUGUACCUCCUGCCAACAGUGUUGGAAGAGUUAGCAAGCAAAGUGGGCCAACAGCAAGAGGAAGAAAGAAGAAAGAAGAAGAAGAAGAAAAGAAGAGAAGAAGAGAAGAGAAGAGAAGAGAAGAGAGGAAAAUUAGAGAGCAGAUUCACUUACUUGGAAGGCUAUUGCAGAAUUCAGCAAGGAGGUAGGUACUUCUCCCUUAUAUGAACCUGUAGUAAGAAAAGAAUUCAUAAAUAGAGAAGGGUAGGACUGAAUUCUGUUGUAUGGAAGGAAUUCUGGAAAAAUUCAGUAGAAUCCUCAUCCUAUCAAAUCUGAUUUUUUGAUUUGAAGAAGGGAAUUGGAAAUGUGAAAUAAUUUUGUAAAGGAUGCAUACACCAUGGCCGAUUGGGGUUAGAAUGUGAGAAUUCUCACUUAAGAUCUUAAAACAAUAAAUUACUUAGAGAAGAAAAGAAAUCUCUCUCUGAAUUAUGUUCUCUAAAGACUUUAAUGGUACAUGCAAAGUAAUUGAGGUUCAAUUUCUUACAUGCAAAGUGAAAUUAGAGAUGAAUUUCACACAUGCAACCUUAGAUUUAGGUUUGAUUAUGAAGCUUUUACUCUAAUUCAUACUUGUGAAUGAGAUUAUGGGAAAUGAGGUUUGAUUUUGGAAAUUCCUGCUGAAUUGUAUAAUUAAUCAGAAUUAAUUAAUGGGUUAAUGAUGGGAUUAAUAGAGUGAUGAGAAUUGCUAAACUUGAUCACUGCUAUGAAGAUAUGACGCAGAAAUAGGGGUCUAAUGGCCAAGUAUAUGAGUUAUCAGUAGGGAAGGUUGGCAGAAUUGAAAUUCUGUAAAAAAGGCACGAUCGGUGGGAGACAUCCGGUCGGCCAGUCGGGCCAGGGACUAGUCGGUUAGGCUUCCAAAGACAUUUUUCCCUCAGUUUUUGAUAGUAAAGUGUGUGUCUGAGAG